GAUGAACGCUGGCGGCGUGCCUAAUACAUGCAAGUCGAGCGAACGGACGAGGAGUUUGCUGCACUGAUGUUAGCGACGGACGGGUGAGUAACACGUGGAUAACCUUCCUAUAAGGCUGAGAUAACUUCGGGAAACCGGAGCUAAUACCGGAAAAUAUUUUGAACCGCAUGGUUCAAAAGUGAAAGAGGGUCUUGAUGACCCUUCUAGAUGGAUCCGCGCUGCAUGAGCUAGUUGGUACGGUAACGGCUUACCAAGGCAACGAUGCAUAGCCGAACUGAGAGGGUGUAGGCCGCCUCUGGAGCUGGACCACGGCCCAGACUCCUACGGGAGGCAGCGGUAGGGAAUCUUCCGAGAUGUGCGAAAGCCUGACGGAGCAACGCCACGUGGGUGAUGAGGGUCUGCGGAUCGGAUGACUCUGUUAGUAGGGAAGAACAUAUGUGUAAGUAACUGUGCACACCGUGACGGUACCUAGUCAGAAAGCCACGGCUAACUACGUG
rnacentral:rRNA from 1 species